rnacentral:rRNA from 1 species
AUUGAACGCUGGCGGCAGGCCUAACACAUGCAAGUCGUGCGAGCGGCGGACGGGUGCGUAAUGUAUGGGGAUCUGCCUGAUGGCGGGGGUUAACUACUGGAAACGGUAUCUAAUACCGCAUACCAUCAGCUGAACCCAUAUGGGAUUAGCUAGUAGGUAAGGUAACGGCUUACCUAGGCGACGAUCCCUAGCUGGUCUGAGAGGAUGAUCAGCCACACUGGGACUGAGACACGGCCCAGACUCCUACGGGAGGCAGCAGUGGGGAAUAUUGCACAAUGGGCGCAAGCCGGAUGCAGCCAUGCCGGGUGUAUGAAGAAGGCCUGCGGGUUGUAAAGGACUUUCAGUCGGGAGGCGUUACCGACAGAAGAAGCACCGGCUAACUCCGUGCCAGCAGCCGCGGUAAUAC